ACAAUAUAAUAACACUAUAACCAAUCAUUGAACAUAUCAUACCGCAUACCUUAUCCUAGAGUACAAGACCAUGAUUUAACAUUUUUGUUGUCUUCUAAUAAGGUUUAACUAAUAUGUCAGUUAAGCUAUACAACAGUCUACCACAUCUCAACUGAACACAUCUCAAACAAUCAAAAGAGACAACUUAAUUAAAAUGCAUUCCAGGUGACAGCCUCAUGAAACUCAGUGACAAUAAGCAGUUUGUGUGUGACUUAAAAGGCAAUAAAUAAAACCAUCUUCUCAAGCUUCUUGAGACAAUGCUAAGAAUGUGUCAUAAAAACUGAAUUUGGCUACAUUAAAAAUUUACAUUUACACAAUGUAAAAUAAAAUGCAUAAUCUGUCUUGUAAAAUAUAAUUACAGAUUUGUUCUUCGCGUGUUUUGAUGUUGUCAGUAUCAAUCUGCAGUGUAGAGAACAAAGGUUAAACAAAUCCAAUGACUAUGACUCAAUGACUAUUAUAAAAACAAGAAAACAAAAACCUUUCAAGUUUGUAUCUAUUUCUGACCUCUCUGAAACACCUCAUCAAUUAUUACGACAGCCAUUUUCUUGGUUUAAGGAGGAAUUUUUUACAAACAUAAACCCUCCCACUUCUAGCUCCCACCACACCCCUCAAGUAGUUUGGGUCUUCAGUGCCUUGCUCAAGGGAACAUACACAAUGCUAUGCCUUCUUUCACUUAGGUUCCAUUUGGAAAGAAAAAUAACAAAAAUCUUUCGGAAGUACUGCAAAAAGUCAGUCUUCCUUGAUAUUCUAUUCACAUUUUAACUUAGAAACACUGAUUUUAGGAAUGUUUAUGUGCUAGUUGAAGAGAGGGACUCCUCCUAUUGGUCACGUGACACUGACACAUACUGUAUGACAUGCCGUAUCCGUAUAUAAGGACGGCUCUUUGCAUUCACCAGCAUCAAACACCACCACAGCAAAGGUAACAUCUCCCAACAACAUUAAAUUCUGCUUUUCAAACCCCAUUUCUGUCACAAACCUCUGUGUCAUGAUUUGACUUAAUCUGAUAUGUCAUCUCUUCUUCUUUUAUUGCAUAGAUGGCUUUUGCUCGCCACCUUUUCUUCCUCCUUUGUGGGAUCAGUGGACUGUUGACCUGGAAGUAUUCUCCCAAAAGUUCAGACGACCCCUAUGUCUAUUAAGAAAAGACAAUCUUGAGGCGACCUAGAACACCGUGGAGGAGCACAAUGAUGAUAUACUCUGUCCUGAAGGAUGGACCCAGUUGAACGAUCACUGUUUCAUCUUGCAAGAUAAAUAAAAGACUUUUGCAGAUGCAGAGGAUUUGAGUAAAUGGGAUCCGGAAUCGAGAUGAGUGAACGCCAUCCCGAGCCUCCUCCGACGAAGACGAAGGAAUUCAACACCCGCGAGUCAGGCGUCUUUUAGGAUUGCGACGAAGUUUAUGCAUCCAGCAGACAUUCAACUCCCAUUCCAGUAUUCAGUGCAAACAAAAAAA